rnacentral:rRNA from 1 species
GAAGUUCAGGUAACACUGAAUGGAGGACCGAACCGACUUACGUUGAAAAGUGAGCGGAUGAACUGAGGGUAGCGGAGAAAUUCCAAUCGAACCUGGAGAUAGCUGGUUCUCUCCGAAAUAGCUUUAGGGCUAGCCUCAAGUGAUGAUUAUUGGAGGUAGAGCACUGUUUGGACGAGGGGCCCCUCUCGGGUUACCGAAUUCAGACAAACUCCGAAUGCCAAUUAAUUUAACUUGGGAGUCAGAACAUGGGUGAUAAGGUCCGUGUUCGAAAGGGAAACAGCCCAGACCACCAGCUAAGGUCCCAAAAUAUAUGUUAAGUGGAAAAGGAUGUGGCGUUGCCCAGACAACUAGGAUGUUGGCUUAGAAGCAGCCAUCAUUUAAAGAGUGCGUAAUAGCUCACUAGUCGAGUGACACUGCGCCGAAAAUGUACCGGGGCUAAACAUAUUACCGAAGCUGUGGAUUGUCCUUUGGACAAUGGUAGGAGAGCGUUCUAAGGGCGUUGAAGCAUGAUCGUAAGGACAUGUGGAGCGCUUAGAAGUGAGAAUGCCGGUGUGAGUAGCGAAAGACGGGUGAGAAUCCCGUCCACCGAUUGACUAAGGUUUCCAGAGGAAGGCUCGUCCGCUCUGGGUUAGUCGGGUCCUAAGCUGAGGCCGACAGGCGUAGGCGAUGGAUAACAGGUUGAUAUUCCUGUACCACCUAUA